CAUUAUGCCUGGAAUGGUUUAUGUUUCAAAUAAUUUAUUGCCGUAGGAUGGGACUGCAGCCUAUCAGUUUGUUGGUGAGGUAAUGGCCCACCAAGACUAUUACAGGUACGGGCUCUGAGAGGAGUAGCCCGGAGAUGGGUACUGAGACACGGACCCAGGCCCUAUGGGGCGCAGCAGGCGAGAAAACUUUGCAAUGUGCGAAAGCACGACAAGGUUAAUCCGAGUGGUUUCUGCUAAAGGAACCUUUUGUCAGUCCUAGAAACACUGAUGAAUAAGGGGUGGGCAAGUUCUGGUGUCAGCCGCCGCGGUAAAACCAGCACCUCAAGUGGUCAGGAUGAUUAUUGGGCCUAAAGCAUCCGUAGCCUGCUUUGUAAGUUUUCGGUUAAAUCCAUACGCUCAACGUAUGGGCUGCCGGGAAUACUGCAAAGCUAGGGAGUGGGAGAGGUAGACGGUACUCGGUAGGAAGGGGUAAAAUCCUUUGAUCUAUUGAUGACCACCUGUGGCGAAGGCGGUCUACCAGAACACGUCCGACGGUGAGGGAUGAAAGCUGGGGGAGCAAACCGGAUUAGAUACCC
rnacentral:rRNA from 1 species